AGCGCAGGCGGUGCGGCAAGUCUGAUGUGAAAGCCCGGGGCUCAACCCCGGUACUGCAUUGGAAACUGUCGUACUAGAGUGUCGGAGGGGUAAGUGGAAUUCCUAGUGUAGCGGUGAAAUGCGUAGAUAUUAGGAGGAACACCAGUAGCGAAGGCGGCUUUCUGGACUGUAACUGACACUGAGGCACGAAAGCGUGGGGAGCAAACA
rnacentral:rRNA from 1 species